UGGCGGCGUGCCUAAUACAUGCAAGUCGAGCGGACCGACGGGAGCUUGCUCCCUUAGGUCAGCGGCGGACGGGUGAGUAACACGUGGGUAACCUGCCUGUAAGACUGGGAUAACUCCGGGAAACCGGGGCUAAUACCGGAUGCUUGAUUGAACCGCAUGGUUCAAUCAUAAAAGGUGGCUUUUAGCUACCACUUGCAGAUGGACCCGCGGCGCAUUAGCUAGUUGGUGAGGUAACGGCUCACCAAGGCGACGAUGCGUAGCCGACCUGAGAGGGUGAUCGGCCACACUGGGACUGAGACACGGCCCAGACUCCUACGGGAGGCAGCAGUAGGGAAUCUUCCGCAAUGGACGAAAGUCUGACGGAGCAACGCCGCGUGAGUGAUGAAGGUUUUCGGAUCGUAAAACUCUGUUGUUAGGGAAGAACAAGUACCGUUCGAAUAGGGCGGUACCUUGACGGUACCUAACCAGAAAGCCACGGCUAACUACGUGCCAGCAGCCGCGGUAAUACGUAGGUGGCAAGCGUUGUCCGGAAUUAUUGGGCGUAAAGCGCGCGCAGGCGGUUUCUUAAGUCUGAUGUGAAAGCCCCCGGCUCAACCGGGGAGGGUCAUUGGAAACUGGGGAACUUGAGUGCAGAAGAGGAGAGUGGAAUUCCACGUGUAGCGGUGAAAUGCGUAGAGAUGUGGAGGAACACCAGUGGCGAAGGCGACUCUCUGGUCUGUAACUGACGCUGAGGCGCGAAAGCGUGGGGAGCGAACAGGAUUAGAUACCCUGGUAGUCCACGCCGUAAACGAUGAGUGCUAAGUGUUAGAGGGUUUCCGCCCUUUAGUGCUGCAGCAAACGCAUUAAGCACUCCGCCUGGGGAGUACGGUCGCAAGACUGAAACUCAAAGGAAUUGACGGGGGCCCGCACAAGCGGUGGAGCAUGUGGUUUAAUUCGAAGCAACGCGAAGAACCUUACCAGGUCUUGACAUCCUCUGGCAACCCUAGAGAUAGGGCUUCCC
rnacentral:rRNA from 1 species